rnacentral:lncRNA from 1 species
CUUUCCCUAUAAUGUCUAAGUUUCUAAACUGCACUAGAGGCUUCCAGUGACUGGGGAAGCCCUGCUGUGUUAUUAUAGAGAUGGAUCCUAAGUGGGCAACCAGGAGACACAUCAGCUUUUCUGGGAUAGUUUCAGGGAGUAUUGAACCUUCUACACUCAAAUUGAGGUUUACCUGGAGAGAUGGGGUGGUCCGUCCUCCACUCAUCACCAGGAGCCGGCAGGACAUUCCUAGAUCACUAGGCCCCUGGUCAACCACCACUAAUGUUAAAGCUUCAACGUCAUGGUAAGUCACUUAGAGCUUUCUGUGUCCAUGCAGAGAUCAUGUGAAGAAGCUUGAUUCCUAAGCUCCCAGAGUUUAAGUUUCCGACCCUUUCACCUGGAAUACUGAAUCAGCAGGAUUCUCUUGGCAGCUGUGAGAGAGAAGGCAGCAGUUGGUAAGAUGGGCAAUGAGCCUAUCUGAAGACCCAGCCGUGAGCUGGGCACCGACUGCAAGCGCUG